rnacentral:rRNA from 1 species
UACAGAGGUCUCAAGCGUUGUUCGGAUUCAUUGGGCGUAAAGGGUGUGUAGGUGGCGCCGUAAGUCGGGUGUGAAAUUUCGGAGCUUAACUCCGAAACUGCAUUCGAUACUGCGGUGCUUGAGGACUGGAGAGGAGACUGGAAUUCAUGGUGUAGCGGUGAAAUGCGUAGAUAUCGUAAGGAAGACCAGUGGCGAAGGCGGCAUCCUGGACCGACAUUGACGCUGAACGGCGAAAGCUAGGGGAGCAAACGGGG